GCUGGGCGCAGUGGAGUGUACCUGUAAUCCCAGCAACUUGGGAGACUGAGGCAGGAGGAUUUCUAGUUCAGUUCAGAUCCAGCCUCAG
rnacentral:sRNA from 1 species